AUACUUUCAGGUAAAAGUUUUCAAAAAAGUAUUUUGGACAGAAGAGACUUGUGGAAACUGGGCACUAUCUCUGGAACCAGGAAUACUAGGAUGCAAUAAACAGUAACAGGUAUAAAGCAAACUGGCCUUGAGCUCCUAGUCUCAAGUAAUCCUCCCCACUGGGCCCCCAGAGUGCUGGGAUUACAGGGGUGAGCCAAUAUACCAAGCUCAUUUGUUGUUUCGGUUAUGCUUGCUUCACUUGCAAAGCCAAACAAAUGUUACAGAUGUGCAAGAAGAAAAUAAUGGUGUGGCACGAUGUUGCUUAAUCACUAUUGGGUAAUUGUUGGACAGCUUUCGGAAUCUCCACAUUCCCCAAACCAGUUUCAGAUGAAAUUUAAGACCAGGCUGCUAUACAAUUUUAUGUAGUAAUUGGCAUAAUAAUUUCUAAGCAGGGCAUUCUUCUAUUUUUACCCUCC